rnacentral:ncRNA from 1 species
GCGGCCACCUCGGGGUGCCCCAAAGGGGCUGAGAUGCGCAACCCGCGAACCCGUUGAACCUGACCCGGUUAGAACCGGCGGAGGGAAGGCCCCUGGACAGAUU